rnacentral:tRNA from 1 species
GCGCCCGUAGCUCAAUUGGACAGAGCGUUAGGUUACGGCCCUAAAGGUUACGAGUUCGAGUCUUGUCGGGCGCGCCA